AUCCAAGGAUCACAUGGCGGAGACGGGAUUCAAGUUUUAGGGUACAUGUGCACAAUGUGCAGGUUUACUGCAGCGCUAUUCACAAUAGCAAAGACUUGGGACCAAGCCAAAUGUCCAACAAUGAUAGACUGGAUUAAGAAAAUGUGGCACAUAUACACCAUGGAAUACUAUGCAGCAUCCUUUGACUUUUCUAAACUACUUAUUAGUUCUUUUUUUAUGGAUUCCUUGGAAUUUUCUACAUACAGGGUCAUGUAAUCUGCAAAUAAAUACAUUUUUACUUUUUUCUUUUCAAUCUGGAUGCAUUUUAUUUAUUUACGUACUUACUACACUGGCAAGAACUUCCAAUUAAAUGUUCCUGAAGGACAUUAGAAGUGCUAUUCCAGUGAAUACAUGAAAAAUAAGAAACAGUCUUAUUGCUGAUAUGGAGAAAGUUUUAGUGAUCUGGAUAGAUCAAUAUAGCCACAACAUUAUCUUCAGCCAAAACCCAAUCCAGGGUAAGGCCCUAACUAAAUUCAAUUCCAUGAAGGCUGUGAGAGGUAAGGAAGCUGAACAAGAAAAGUUGGAAGCUAGCAGAGGCUGAUUCAUGAGGUUUAAGGAGAGAAGUCAUUUCCAUAACAUAAAAGUGCAAGGUGAAGCAGCAAGUUCUGAUGGAAGUUGCAGCAAGUUAUCCAGAAGAUCUACCUAAGAUAAUUGAUGAGGGUGGCUAUACUAAACAACAGAAUAUCAGUGUAGAUGAAACAGCUUUCUAUUGGAAGAAGAUGCCAUAUAGGAGUUUCAUAACUAGAGUGGAGAAGUCAAUGCAUGGCUUCAAAGCUUCAAAGGACAGGCUGACUCUCUUAUUAGGGGCUAAUGCAGCUGAUGACUUAAAUUUGAAGCCAGUACUCAUUUAACAUUCCAAAAAUCCCAUGGCCCUCAAAAAUCACCUAAAUCUACCUGUGCUCUAUAAAUGAAACAACAAAGCUUGGAUGAAAGCAUGUCUGUUUACAGCAUGGAUUACUGACUAUUUUAAGCCCACUGUUUGAGACUUGUUGCUCAGAAAAAAGAUUACUUCAAAAUAUUGCUACUCAUUCACAAUGUACCUUUUCACCUAAGAGCUCUGGUGGAGAUAUACAAGGAGGUUAAUGUUUUCAUGACUGCUAUUAUAACAUCCACUCGGCAGCACAUGGAUCAAAGAGUAAUAGCAACUUUCAAGUCUUAUUAUUUAAAAAAUACAUUUCAUAAACCUAUUGCCGCCAUAGAUACUUAUUCAUCUGACGGAUCUGGGCAAAGUAAAUCAAAAACCUCUGGAAAGGAUUCACCAUUCUAGAUGCCAUUAAGAAUAUGAUUCAUGUGAGGAGGUCAAAAUUAUUAACAUUAACAAGAUUUUGGAAGAAGUUGAGUCCAACCUUCAGGGAUGAUUUUAAGGAGCUCAAGAUUUCAGUAGAGGAAGUAACUAUAGAUGUGGUAGAAAUAGCAAGAGAACUAGAAUUAGAAGUGGAGCCUGAACAUGUGACUGCAUCGCUGCAAUCUCAUGAUAAAAAUGCAGCAAAUAGGAGUUGCUUCUUAUGAAUGAGCAAAGAAAGUUGUUUCUUGAGAUGGUACCUAUUCCUGGUGAAGAUGCUGUAAACAUUGUUGAAAUGACAACAAAGAUUUUAGAAUAUUCCAUAAACUUAGUUGAUAAAGCAGUAGCAGGGUUUGAAAAGAUGGACUCCAAUUUUGAAAGAAGUUCCACUGUGAGUAAAAUGCUAUCAAAUAGCUUUGCAUGCUACAGAGAAAUCUUUCAUGAAAGGAAGCGUCCAUCAAUGCUGCAAACUUCCAUUGUUGUCUUCUCUGAAGAAAUUGCCACAGCCACCCAGCCUUCAACAACCACCUCCCUAAUCAGUCAGCAGCCAUCAACAUUGAGGCCAGAUCUUCCUCCAGCAAAAAGAUGACUACUUGCUGAAGGCUCAGAUGAUCCCUACCAUUUUGGGCAAUAAAGUAUUUUUAAAUCAAG
rnacentral:lncRNA from 1 species